rnacentral:rRNA from 1 species
AGAGUUUGAUCCUGGCUCAGAACUAACGCUGGCGGCGUGCCUAACACAUGCAAGUCGAACGAGAAAGGGUCCUUCGGGACCUGAGUAGAGUGGCGCACGAGUGAGUAACGCGUGGGUAAUCUACCCUUCAGCUGGGAAUAACCCAUCGAAAGGUGGGCUAAUACCGAAUAAUACGGCCGGGCUGCGGUUCGGUCGUCAAAGAUAGCCUCUGCUUGCAAGCUUUCGCUGAAGGAUGAGCCCGCGUCCCAUUAGCUUGUUGGUAGGGUAACGGCCUACCAAGGCGACGAUGGGUAGCUGGUCUGAGAGGAUGAUCAGCCACACUGGAACUGAGACACGGCCCAGACUCCUACGGGAGGCAGCAGUGAGGAAUAUUGCGCAAUGGGGGCAACCCUGACGCAGCAACGCCGCGUGAGUGAGGAAGGUCUUCGGAUCGUAAAGCUCUGUCGGGUGGGAAGAAGUGUGCAUAGGUUAAUAGCUUGUGCACUUGACGGUACCGCCAAAGGAAGCACCGGCUAACUCCGUGCCAGCAGCCGCGGUAAUACGGGGGGUGCGAGCGUUGUUCGGAAUCAUUGGGCGUAAAGAGCGUGUAGGCGGCUAGGCAAGUCAGAUGUGAAAUCCCUGGGCUUAACCCAGGAAGUGCAUUUGAAACUGCUUAGCUUGAGUAAGGAAGAGGGAAGUGGAAUUCCUGGUGUAGAGGUGAAAUUCGUAGAUAUCAGGAGGAACACCGGUGGCGAAGGCGGUCCUCUGGGCCUGCACUGACGCUGAGUGCGCGAAAGCUGGGGUAGCAAACAGAAUUAGAUACUCUGGUAGUCCCAGCCCUAAACGGUGGGUACUAGGUGUUCGCCCCUUCAAGGGGUGAGUGCCGCAGCUAACGCAUUAAGUACCCCACCUGGGGAGUACGAUCGCAAGGUUGAAACUCAAAGGAAUUGACGGGGACCCGCACAAGCGGUGGAGGAUGUGGUUUAAUUCGACGCAACGCGAAGAACCUUACCUGGUCUUGACAUGCUGGUGAAAUCCGUGGAAACACGGCCCUCCCGCAAGGGACGCCAGUACAGAUGGUGCAUGGCUGUCGUCAGCUCGUGUCGUGAGAUGUUGGGUUAAGUCCCGCAACGAGCGCAACCCUUACCCUUAGUUGUUUUCCCGAAAGGAUUACCCUCUAAGGGGACUGCCCCGGACAACGGGGAGGAAGGCGGGGAUGAUGUCAAGUCCGCAUGCUUCUUACGACCAGGGCUACACACGUCCUACAAUGGGGUCGACAGAGGGAUGCAAAGCCGCGAGGUAGAGCCAAUCCCUAAACGGCCUCUCAGUUCGGAUAGUAGUCUGCAACUCGACUACUUGAAGUCGGAAUCGCUAGUAAUGGCGGAUCAGCAUGCCGCCGUGAAUACGUUCCCGGGUCUUGUACUCACCGCCCGUCA